UUGCUUUACUCAUGCCAAUGGAAGUCCUUCAAGUGAUAGGUACUUGGAUUUUUGUGAAGCAAUAUGACGGUUGAAGAUGGUCUGCCUAGUUAGAUUUUAUUUUAUAAGACUUUGUUCUAAAACUUAUUAUUUUUAGUGUAGUGUGUUGUUAGUUUUGGAUGUAAAGAACUUGUCGUUAGUUUGCAUUUGUAACUUUGACUCAAAUAUUUGUUGGAUGAAUUUAGAUUA